GGGCUGCAGGAGAGGGGCCAGCGGGCUGUGCUGGGUGGCCAGCGGGUGAGCCAGCUUGCCGGGCUGGGGCGCUUCUAGCUCGCGCGGCGGUGGCUGGCCCGAAACCUCCGAGCGCGCACACACACCCCCGCCCUGCCCGCGCCCCCCGCGCCCGCCCUCCCUCCCCCCUGCUCACGCCAAUGUGCUCGCUCGCUCGCCCCGGCCCCUCCUCGCCUGCUCGCCUGCUAGCGCGCCGAGCCGGCGGCUUCAGGCUCGGGAAGGUCCUCCGCGGGCUGCGGUGGCGGCGGCGGAGAAGCCGGAGGAGCCCGACCCGGUGCGCGGCGUCCCCCGCUCGCCGCUCCGCUGAGCGCUUUGCAUAAGGAGGGCUCGCCUCGUCGGCCCGGGCUGCAGGCGGGGCGCGCGCGGCGGCCGCUCGGGGCUGGAGGCGCGGCGGGCGGCUGUCCGGGCCUUGGCACGGGGGAGUUAACACUUCAUGCUUCUCGCCUCCUCUUCUGCCUGGCUCUUUUUAUUUUUUUCUUUCCUCUCUCUCUCCCUCGCGCUCUUCCUCCCUCCGUGCAAAGUGCAAGACAGAGGUGCAGCCCGGCUGGAGGAAAGGGAGGGGGGAGUUGAGUUCUUUCUUGCCUUUUUUUUUUUUUAAAGCAAAAUAGCGAAGUCCUGGGGAAAGGCGAGGCGGAGAGCAAAAGGGGGGAGGCCGAGCCGACGAGCAGCCCGAGCUACAGCUCGAAGAUGAAAAAAAGAUUUUAAAGCCUCUGAUCCAGCAAGAAGAGUUUAAAGCAAUUGCUGAGUUUUAUAGCACUUGUGACGUCAGGCCCAAAUGGGAAAUUGACUGGUACUCCGGACCAAUGGGAGGAGGCAAGAGCGGCCGCGAUUAGCAUAAUAGUAUGGAAACAAGGAAACUUUUCGGAGCUGUCAAUCAGGGCCCAAUCAGCUGACUGUCAGCUGGGACGGGCUGGCUUAACCCUUCCAGCGCCGCAGCGUCCUCCGGAGGUUGCAAAGCCUGGCGCAAAGUUUGGCGCAAGACGGGAAGUUGUUUUCCAGAGGGGCUGCGGGAAACCGUGUGGACCGGCAGGACGGUUUGCUUUACUUCGGAGCGCGAGAGAAACCUGCCUUACGGAGCCCCAGCUCGCCCCCGACUCACUCGGCGGGAAAUGGCCUGCUCCCCUUCCCCUGCCUGACCCCCAACCCCUCGUCGUGAAUUCGACGGGCAGUUUUUUCUCCUUGCUCCACCUUCAGCACCAAGCUGUCCGCCCCGGGGACCUUACUUCCCCGAGCCUGGCAGUGCCUCGGAGCUCAAACUUGGUCCAAACUCUUUGUCCCUUUCCCCAGUGCCCGCGCGCGGGGGUGCAGUGUCUCAUUUGCGCGCAGGACAUCUCCUAGCCGCGCGCCUGCCGGGGCAGUUCGGAGUCGGCGGAGAGAGCCCGUUUUAUCAUCCUCUUUUAAAGGAGCUUAUGCAAAGAAGAAAAAAGGAAAGAAAGAAAAAGAAAAGAAAAAAAGAAAACCGACAGCUCUGUUUCUAAGAUUUUAAAGCGAUAGGCCAGUCGGAGAAGCCGAGAUUUAUUUGGGAGAAAGCAAGAGUGCGCGAAGCCGACCCAGCGUUUGGAAGACCAGCCCGCCUGCUUGGAUGUUGGACGGUUGAUUCCUCCGAUUAAUGAAAUGCAUUUGGUGUUAAUCAUAUUUAUUUUAUUUUAUGGGAGGGGAGACGCUAGGAGGGUGCAUUAAAAAAAAAA